UACGUAGGGGGGCAAGCGUUGUCCGGAUUUAUUGGGCGUAAAGAGCGUGUAGGCGGCUAGGUAGGUCCGCUGUUUAAAACUCGAGGCUUAACCUCGAGAGGUCGGUGGAAACCAUCUGGCUAGAGUCCGGAAGAGGAGAGUGGAAUUCCUGGUGUAGCGGUGAAAUGCGCAGAUAUCAGGAAGAACACCAACGGCGAAGGCAGCUCGCUGGGACGGUACUGACGCUGAGACGCGAAAGCGUGGGGAGCGAACAGG
rnacentral:rRNA from 1 species